GUGCCUGCUGAGAAAGCACUGUGCCACUCAACUCCACCCACAGCCGUUAGGUUCCCUCCUGAUGGCACUACUAGGAUGAUUCAUCACAAGGAGUCCAGAAUUCUUAUAUUAACACAAACAUCUUGCUUAUAAGAACCUACUUGAGUUAUUUAGUGUUACAACUUAAAAAUAAAAGCAUGUAAGUUUGAAAAAAGACAAAAAUGAUUAAAUUUUCAUAGUUUUAAGAUAAAUUUUCAUGUUGAAUUUAAUAUUGUACUAAAAAAAAACCACCUCACGGGCCCAGGGAUUUAGCUCAGUGGUGCCGCACCUGCCAGGCAAAUCCUGAGUUUGAGUCCUGGUACCAGAAAAGAAAAAAACCCCCCAAAAACCCACCUCACUAUCAUUUUAGAAACAUGUAAAAGAAAACUAGAGAUAGAAAACUUUACUGGUGGUGCAUUUUCUGAAUAUUUUUAUUCAUUUUCCUUACUUUCUCUACUCAGUGAAACACUCACUUCAGCAGAAACUGCAGACCAAAUUAUGAAAAUAAUAUUUCACAUUGCUGUGGAUGUGACGGUAUGAAAUAGAUGACAGCAGAUGAAAAUGAGUUUUUUCCUUCAUCCAGCCAAUGAGCCACAAUACCCCAAGCUGCUCAGAGAGCACAUAGUCCCCAGUAGUUUCUGGUGGAAAGAGCUGGACACGGUGGUGCACGCCUGUGAUCUCAGCACCCAGGAGGCUGAGGCAGGAGGAUUGCCACGAGUUUGAGGCCAGCCAGGGCUACAUGGAAAAACCCUGUCCAAAAAAAAAAAAAAAAAUUCUGCUGAAAAAGACAUGGUCCUGAGAGAAGACACAGUGCUCCCCACUUAUGGAAAAAUUCUGCUUUUGCUAAGGCCGUUGUGCAGCCACACACACACACAAAACAGGCAUGCAGCACGAGGAGAGGACGAGCCACAGACAGAGCUGUAGUGAAAGAGGAAGCUGAGCACUGCCAGGGAGGGAGUGUGGGAGACCAUGCAUUUCCUCUCCUUCUGACAGUCAGAGACCAAACAGGGACAGGGGACGAACAAAGCCCUUGGCCCUUGCUAUGUUACUCACCAGAAGCAAGAUCUGUGUUUUCUUCUGAGGCAGUAAGAGACUUAUAAACUCCUUUUGCUAAGACACAAUGACUUCAUCUGCAGACGCCCAAUAGAUAACUAAAAAUGAAACGAAGCCUUACCCUCAUGUUUCACCUUUUCUUUUGUCACCUUGGAACUCUGAGUCAGAUUCCUUCCUGUUCAGCACACAGAGAGGCUGUUAGUUACCUAGGGAGAGGCUGGCGACUACUGGCAGUCUGAAGUUGGUUAGCCCUAAAUUUACCUAACCUAUCUCAGCCCCUCUGAGACUGAGGAUGCGAAGCUAGGAGAUGACAGGGACAUCCAGCUACCCAGGAGCGCCCUGAGCCUCCAGUCAUUCCCUAUGAUCCAUAGUCCCCUUGACUUCAAGCAGAGCUUCCACAAAACUGAGAUUGCGCCGAGCAGAAGCAGGCGCCUCACGGAGACCGUCUGAAACAGAACUUCUCCCGGGGGCCGAUUGCAAAACGGAGCUGAGGUCAUGAUGACCCAGACCUAGCCCGGCUCAGCUGAUCAGUAAAAGCGGGCUUUGUCCUUCUGUAACCUGCCGGUCUGAUCUUCUCAGACAGCGUAUAUCCCCUUCAGCUCCCAGAAGUGAAAUCCUAACGCUGGUCUCUUACUUCCCAGCUGUCCCCAAUAAAUCUCCCUCUAUCUCUCAA